GGCCCCAUCGUUUAGCGGCCUAGGACGGCGCCCUUUCACGGCGUUAGCACGGGUUCGAAUCCCGUUGGGGUCACAA
rnacentral:tRNA from 1 species